rnacentral:rRNA from 1 species
CUGCUGCUAAUACCGCAUGAUACCUGAGGGUCAAAGGCGCAAGUCGCCCUUUAGGAGGAGCCUGCGUCUGAUUAGGUAGUUGUGGGGUAAAGGCUACCAAGCCUACGAUCAGUAGCUGGUCUGAGAGGAUGAUCAGCCACAUUGGGACUGAGACACGGCCCAGACUCCUACGGGAGGCAGCAGUGGGGAAUAUUGGACAAUGGGCGCAAGCCUGAUCCAGCAAUGCCGCGUGGAUGAAGAAGGUCUUCGGAUUGUAAAGUCCUUUUGGCGGGGACGAUGAUGACGGUACCCGCAGAAUAAGCUCCGGCUAACUUCGUG